AACUCUCAAAUUCGUUCUCCCUUUUCCUUUGGUGAUUAACAUAUGCAAAAAUUUCAAUCCUCCAUAACUUUCUCGUUUCUCUACGGAAUUGGACGAUUCUUGCGGCCACGGAACGAGGAGAAGGAGAGCUACUGAUCUAGCCCUAUUAUUCAAGGAGUUUAUUAUAAGCUUCCAUGGGAGAAUUUUGAUGGUGAUUUUGGAGCAUGAAGGCUUCGGCAUGAGGAUAUCAUUCAAGACUCAAAGAUGCGACUAUCGAUAAGGCUCGAGGCGAACGGAUCAAAAUAUCGUCAAGCUUAUUUUAAGAAUUUAGAUAGCAAGUGGUGAGUACACUUUAAAUUACUCGUCAAUAUUCAUAAAGCCGCGUAUUUUCAUACGAAAGGCUAUAUGAAUAUUUAUAUAUUUGAAAUGUAUGAUAUAAAAUGUAUUA